rnacentral:rRNA from 1 species
ACGGCUCAGUAACACGUAGCUAAUCUGCCCUCACGCCGGUGAUACCCCCGGGAAACUGAGGUUAAGCACCGAUAGGCGACGUUCUCUGAAAUGAUUCGUCGCUCAACGCUGUUGUGAGGAUGAGGCUGCGGCUGAUUAGGUUGUUGGCGGGGUAAUGGCCCACCAAGCCUAUGAUCAGUAAGGGCCUUUAGCGAGGAAGCCCUGAGAGGGAGUCUGAGACACUACUCCCAGCCCUACGGGGUGCAGCAGUCGGGAAACUUCUGCAAUGUACGCAAGUAUGACAGAGCAAGCCAGAGUGUUUUUCUUCGGAAAAACUUUUGUGUGAUGUAAAAAGUCGCACGAAUAAGGACUGGGAGAGACUGGUGCCAGCCGCCGCGGUAAUCCCAGCAGUCCAAGUCGCAACCACAUUUGUUGGGUCUAAAACAUCCGUAGCUUGCUGGAUAAGUCUCUUGUGAAAUUCUAUGUCUCAAACAUAGAGCGCGCAUGAGGUACUGUUGAGCUAGAGACUGGAAGACGUAAGAAGUACGGUUAAAGUAACGGUAAAAUGUGUUAAUCUUAAUCGGACUAACAAUAGCGAAGGCAUCUUACGAGGACAGUUCUGACAGUAAGGGAUGAAGGCUAGGGGCGCAAAGUGGAUUAGAUACCCAUGUAGUCCUAGCAGUAAACACUGCACACUAAACAUUGGUGCCUCUUCGAGAGGCGUCAGUGCUGAAGCGAAGGCGAAGAGUGUGCUACCUGGGAAGUAUAGUCGCAAGGCUGAAACUUAAAGGAAUUGGCGGGGGAGCAC